GACACUGACAGCAGCGAACCUGCUGACUAUUUGUGUAUGCGGUGCUGUGUGCGCUGUGGCCCUGACUGCAUUCAUUCUCUACAUUUUCAUCUGCUGCCGGAAAAUGUACAGAGUGCAAGCUGACAUUGAGUCUGCAGCUGUCCUUACGAAAGAUCAAAUGGCAGCACCAUUACCCUCAACCCUACCACCCCCAUCCCCCUCAACAUCCCUCCCAACUUCUUCUCCAUCCCCACCCCCACCAUGCCCACUACCCUCACCCACCCAAUCCCCUCCCCAACCUUCUCUCACCUGCCCCCCUUCUUCCUACUCCUUAUGCUUUGAUGCAGUUCCGCUCCUUCGCUACAUGCAUUUCCACCACCCCAUUAUGUCCUCCAGACCAUCUGGACAGGAGCUGGGACAUGCUGCCAUCACUGCAAGUCAGAAACAUCAGACUUAGGCAUAAGGUUUUACCCCUCCCCCUUCCCCUUCCCACCCCAUCACCACCACCACCUUGUGUGUCGUGUCUGUCUCCUUCCCAUAGAUGUUGAUCAACAUCAUCAGCUACAAGCUGUCUCCAAACCCCUCACCAUUACCAACACUACCGCUACCUGUUCCAACACCACAAGAGAGAAUAAUAGCUAGCAUAAAGAGAAUGGCGACCGGCCAGAAGAGUAAAUGCCAGCUGUCAAGAGUUACUGGCCAAUGAAGUUCUACACAAAGUGGCCUCGAUGUUCUUUGUGGUUCAAGUGAGAUGGAGAAAGACAACCACGUGCCUCCCCUCCUGCAGCCCCUGGUAAUGGCUCUACCCACAACUGUAUUUAUUGAAUGGACGAUGGCAAUACAAACUCUGAUCAUAUAUACAAUAAUUGCCAGAGACAGAUGAUAAUACAAUCAUUACACAGUGCAGAAAGCAGGGAAGAAAAUGAGGAGUAUAUGGAGACAGACGAAUACAUCAGGAACAGAAUAUUCAUUUCUAAA